rnacentral:rRNA from 1 species
AGCAGCCGCGGUAAUUCCAGCUCCAAUAGCGUAUAUUAAAGUUGUUGCAGUUAAAAAGCUCGUAGUUGAAUUUCGGGAUCAAUACGUCGGUCGUGCUUUCGGGUACGUACUGGCGUCAUUGGUUUCUCCUUUCUGACGAACCAUGAUGUCAUUAAUUUGGUGUUGUGGGGAGUUAGGACUGUUACUUUGAAAAAUUGAGUGUUUAAAGCAAGCUAACGCUUGAAUACAUUAGCAUGGAAUAAUGAAUAGGACGUUCGAUCCUAUUUCGUUGGUUCUAGGAUUGACGUAAUGAUUAAUAGGGAUAGGUUGGGGCAUUAGUAUUCAAUUGUCAGAGGU